rnacentral:rRNA from 1 species
UGGGGAAUUUUGGACAAUGGGCGAAAGCCUGAUCCAGCAAUGCCGCGUGUGUGAAGAAGGCCUUCGGGUUGUAAAGCACUUUUGUCCGGAAAGAAAUCCUUGGCUCUAAUACAGUCGGGGGAUGACGGUACCGGAAGAAUAAGCACCGGCUAACUACGUGCCAGCAGCCGCGGUAAUACGUAGGGUGCAAGCGUUAAUCGGAAUUACUGGGCGUAAAGCGUGCGCAGGCGGUUUGCUAAGACCGAUGUGAAAUCCCCGGGCUCAACCUGGGAACUGCAUUGGUGACUGGCAGGCUAGAGUAUGGCAGAGGGGGGUAGAAUUCCACGUGUAGCAGUGAAAUGCGUAAAGAUGUGGAGGAAUACCGAUGGCGAAGGCAGCCCCCUGGGCCAAUACUGACGCUCAUGCACGAAAGCGUGGGGAGCAAACAGGAUUAGAUACCCUGGUAGUCCACGCCCUAAAACGAUGUCAACUAGUUGUUGGGGAUUCAUUUCCUUAGUAACGUAGCUAACGCGUGAAGUUGACCGCCUGGGGAGUACGGUCGCAAGAUUAAAACUCAAAUGAAUUGAC